AGAUGCAGCAUGAUGUGCUGAGCAAUACCAGUGUCAUUGUUCCUGCUUUUUGGUGCCCUGGGAACCUCAAUGCUUCACAGAUCUUGUGAUGCUUCAUGAAAAAAAUACUGAGGAAGAGUUCGUGAGUUCAUUGUCCAUUCAGAUAUCUGAUGGGAAGAAGCUGUUCCAGAAAUGUCGAGUGUAUUCAGAAUGUAUACGGGAUUUCCCAGGACCACUUGUCUCCAGAACUCAUCACAAUCUUGGACCAAGGGACCAAACAGUCGUGAGAUUGUGGGGGACCGUGCACAAUUCUAAUUUGAUGGAGGCAGACGUGAGAGUACAGAGGAACAUCUGGAAAACUUAUGAAAUGCCCGCUUCGCUGCCGCUGCGACUGUGUGGUAACCGACAUCCUCGGCUUUGCGUGUUUCAGCGGCUGGGGAGAGGUCGAAGGCGCUCGGGAGGCUGUAUCUGAGAGGUUGGUCGGAAGCUCGAAGUUUUUGGAUGGAUGGACUCAGUGUCGGCUGCUUCCAAGGCAUCGACAAGUUGACGGUGCCUGGAGGUUUAUGGCAGGGAGUUUCUCCCUUUUGCCACCUGCUAUCGGGGACUCAGGAGUUGAUCGACUCAGGACUUUGAGACUUUUUUUUUACUGUUCCCAUGGUCUGUUCUUCAUCAAAUUAUGGUAUUGCUUUGCACUGCUGUAACUAUAUGUUAUAAUUAUGUGGUUCUGUCAGUGUUCGUCUUCGGUGUGUCCUGUUUUCUGUGAUAUCCCUCCGGAGAAACAUUGUAUCAUUUCUUAAGGCAUGUAUGCAA